rnacentral:rRNA from 1 species
UAGGACUCUCGGCAAUGGAUAUCUUGGCUCUUGCAUCGAUGAAGAGCGCAGCGAAAUGCGAUACGUGGUGCGAAUUGCAGAAUCCCGUGAACCAUCGAGUUUUUGAACGCAAGUUGCGCCUGAGGCCACCUGGCCAAGGGCACGUCCACCUGGGCGUCAAGCAUUAAAUCGCUCA